rnacentral:rRNA from 1 species
GUAGGGACCAAGCGUUGUUCGGAUUUACUGGGCGUAAAGGGCGCGUAGGCGGCGCUGUUAGUCACUUGUGAAAUCUCCGGGCUUAACUCGGAACGGCCAAGUGAUACUGCAGUGCUAGAGUGCGGAAGGGGCAAUCGGAAUUCUUGGUGUAGCGGUGAAAUGCGUAGAUAUCAAGAGGAACACCUGAGGUGAAGACGGGUUGCUGGGCCGACACUGACGCUGAGGCGCGAAAGCCAGGGGAGCAAACGGGAUUAGAUACCCCGGUAGUCCUGGCCCUAAACGAUGAAUACUUGGUGUCUGGAGUUAUUAGUGCUCCGGGUGCCGUCGCUAACGUUUUUAGUAUUCCGCCUGGGGAGUACGCUCGCAAGAGUG